rnacentral:rRNA from 1 species
GGUAACGGCUCACCAUGGCGUCGACGGGUAGCUGGUCUGAGAGGAUGGUCAGCCGGACUGGGACUGAGAUACGGCCCAGACUCCUACGGGGGGCAGCAAUUAGGAAUCUUGCGCAAUGGGCGAAAGCCUGACGCAGCGACGCCGCGUGGAGGAGGAAGGCCUUCGGGUUGUAAACUCCUUUUAGGUGGGAAGAAACAAAUGACGGUACCACCAGAAUAAGCCCCGGCUAACUCCGUGCCAGCAGCCGCGGUAAUACGGAGGGGGCGAGCGUUGUCCGAAGUUACUGGGCGUAAAGCGCGCGUAGGUGGGUUGGCAAGUCCGCUGUGAAAGGCCGGGGCUUAACUCCGGAGGGUCGGUGGAUACUGCCAGUCUUGAAGGUGCUAGGGGGAGAUGGAAUUACCGGUGUAGCGGUGAAAUGCGUAGAUAUCGGUAGGAACACCAGUGGCGAAGGCGGUCUCCUGGGGCAUUCUUGACGCUGAUGCGCGAAAGCUGGGGGAGCGAACGGGAUUAGAUACCCCGGUAGUCCCAGCCCUAAACGAUGGAUACUAGGUGUCAGGGGUAUCGACCCCCUUGGUGCCGCAGCUAACGCAGUAAGUAUCCCGCCUGGGGAGUACGGCCGCA